rnacentral:lncRNA from 1 species
CCUUUCUUAGUCUCCACUCUCCAACCGAUUGAAUGCUCCUGACACUACAACUUCCUUAUUUAGCAUAUGGCAUAAGAGAACAUUAACAUAAAUAAAUUGUAAAAAAAAAAAAAUCAGUAUGACAUCGAAAACUUUACACAGAAAAGUUCAAAUUAUGAAUAGUUUGAUAAACUCAAAUGGUUCAAAACUGUGAAAAUUGUAUAAGGAUGUACAGUAAUUGUUAAAAUCCAGCUUCAGCCUAAAAUAUUGAAGAAAAACACAAACUGUGAACAAGAUGGACUAACCGGAGAGAGAAUCGUCGAAAUCGGAAUUACUGUCGCAGAAAGGUUUAGGUUGGCUAUUGAGAUAGGUGAAAACAUAGUUGCAGGAAAAUGCGACGGCGGAGGCAACGACGACGACGGCGAUGAACCUUGAAAACUCCGAUUUAGAGGAAGGGAAUAAGUUUGAGGAAGGUUGUAAAGGAAUACUUCUGGAUGAUGUAGAAAGACGAGAAGAAGAAGAGGAGGAAGUUUUGUUUUUGGUGGGGUUAGGGUUAGGGCUUCGAGAAGAUGGUCGUGUUCGAGGACCGGAAGCCAUUGAUGAACGCAAUUCAAAGUUUGAACUUUAAAAUAUAAUUAGUACAUAAUUUGAACUUUGCAGUACAUAAUGUGUAGUUAGAUUGCCCUUAAAAAUAGUUUUUGCAAUCAAAGAGAGGUUAUUAGGGAAAAGGUGAGAGUGGUCGUAGAUUAAAAAAAAGAGAGUAAAAUUGAGAGAGUUUAAAUAUGCAAUGAUGUAAAGAAAAAGUGUGUAGACAACCUAGUAAAAAGAUAUGAGAGUCGGGAUGUUGGGGGAAUGCGAAAGAAUAGAGGCAGAUUGAAAAAGUAUUGGAGAGAUAAUUAGACAUGAUAUGGCAUAAUUUCAUAUUGUCUAAGACAUAACUUUAAAUAGGUAGAGUGAAUGUCGUUUAUUAAGGCAAAAGAGGUAGAUUGUUCUCUUGUGUAACAAAAGUUUGGGCGUAUUAGUACCUUGUUGCAGUACUAGUCAUACCUCUUUGUACGUUUCGAACUUUUGAUUAUAUGUUGUGUAUUGUGUUUUGAUUAUUACACUAUUUUAUUGUAGACUUUAAAAUAUUUUUUACUAAUUAUUAUACUUUCUUUAGUUUAGUUUGAUGAACUUGAGUCGAGGAUCUUUUAAAAACAACUUUUCUAUCUCUACAAAAUAGUAAAAAUGUCAACGUACACUUUAACCUUCUCAGAUUCUACUUUAGUGAGAUUUCUCUAAAGUAGAAUCUCACUAAAGUAAUACAUUAGGAAUAUUAUAAUUUCAAAAUUGAGUUUGUAGCAUAUGGCAUAAGAGAACAUUAACAUAAAUUGUAAAAAAAAUAAAUCAGUAUGACAUCGAAAACUUUACACAGAAAAGUUAAAUUAUGAAUAAUUUGAUAAACUCAAAUGGUUCAAAUCUGUGAAAAUUGUAUAAGGAAGUACAGUAAUUGUUAAUAUCCAGCUUCAGCCUAAAACAUUGAAGAAAAACACAAACUGUGAACAAGAUGGACUAACCGGAGAGAGAAUCGUCGAAAUCGGAAUUACUGUCGCAGAAAGGUUUAGGUUGGCUAUUGAGAUAGGUGAAAACAUAGUUACAGGAAAAUGCGACGGCGGAGGCAACGACGACGACGGCGAUGAACCUUAAAAACUCCGAUUUAGAGGAAGGGAAUAAGUUUGAGGAAGGUUGUAAAGGAAUACUUCUGGAUGAUGUAGAAGGACGAGAAGAAGAAGAGGAGGAAGUUUUGUUUUUGGUGGGUUUAGGGUUAGGGCUUUGAGAAGAUGGUCUAAGUGAGCGUGUUCCAGAACUGGAAGCCAUUGAUGAACACAAUUCAAAGUUUAAAACUUUAAAAUAUAAUAUUCUGAAGUUUCAAUUAGUACAUAAU